rnacentral:rRNA from 1 species
AGUGAACGCUGGCGGUAGGCCUAACACAUGCAAGUCGAACGGCAGCACAGUAAGAGCUUGCUCUUACGGGUGGCGAGUGGCGGACGGGUGAGGAAUACAUCGGAAUCUACUUUUUCGUGGGGGAUAACGUAGGGAAACUUACGCUAAUACCGCAUACGACCUACGGGUGAAAGCAGGGGAUCUUCGGACCUUGCGCGAUUGAAUGAGCCGAUGUCGGAUUAGCUAGUUGGCGGGGUAAAGGCCCACCAAGGCGACGAUCCGUAGCUGGUCUGAGAGGAUGAUCAGCCACACUGGAACUGAGACACGGUCCAGACUCCUACGGGAGGCAGCAGUGGGGAAUAUUGGACAAUGGGCGCAAGCAUGAUCCAGCAAUACCGCGUGGGUGAAGAAGGCCUUCGGGUUGUAAAGCCCUUUUGUUGGGAAAGAAAAGCAGCAGGUUAAUACCCCGCUGUUCUGACGGUACCCAAAGAAUAAGCACCGGCUAACUUCGUG